GAUCAUGGCUCAGGAUGAACGCUAGCUACAGGCUUAACACAUGCAAGUCGAGGGGCAGCAUGAACUUAGCUUGCUAAGUUUGAUGGCGACCGGCGCACGGGUGAGUAACACGUAUCCAACCUUCCGUUUACUCAGGGAUAGCCUUUCGAAAGAAAGAUUAAUACCUGAUAGUAUGGUGAGAUUGCAUGAUAGCACCAUUAAAGAUUUAUUGGUAAACGAUGGGGAUGCGUUCCAUUAGGUUGUUGGCGGGGUAACGGCCCACCAAGCCUUCGAUGGAUAGGGGUUCUGAGAGGAAGGUCCCCCACAUUGGAACUGAGACACGGUCCAAACUCCUACGGGAGGCAGCAGUGAGGAAUAUUGGUCAAUGGACGAGAGUCUGAACCAGCCAAGUAGCGUGAAGGAUGACUGCCCUAUGGGUUGUAAACUUCUUUUAUAAAGGAAUAAAGUCGGGUAUGUAUACCCGUUUGCAUGUACUUUAUGAAUAAGGAUCGGCUAACUCCGUG
rnacentral:rRNA from 1 species